GACGAACGCUGGCGGCGUGCCUAAUACAUGCAAGUUGAGCGAUGAAGAUUGGUGCUUGCACCAAUUUGAAGAGCAGCGCACGGGUGAGUAACGCGUGGGGAAUCUGCCUUUGAGCGGGGGACAACAUGUGGAAACGAAUGCUAAUACCGCAUAACAACUUUAAACAUAAGUUUUAAGUUUGAAAGAUGCAAUUGCAUCACUCAAAGAUGAUCCCUCGUUGUAUUAGCUAGGUGGUGAGGUAAAGGCUCACCAAGGCGAGGAUACAUAGCCGACCUGAGAGGGUGGUCGGCCAGACUGGGACUGAGACCCGCCCCAAACGCCUACGGGAGGCAGCAGGAGGGAAUCUUCGGGCAUGGACGAAAGACUGACCGAGCAACGCCGCGGGAGUGAAGAAGGUUUUCGGAUCGUAAAAGUCUGUUGGUAGAGAAGAACGUGGGUGAGAGUGGAACGCUCAUUAAGUGACGGUAACGACCCAGAAAGGGACGGCUAACUACGUG
rnacentral:rRNA from 1 species